rnacentral:rRNA from 1 species
GACAGAGGCCUCGAGCGUUAGGCGGAAUCACUGGGCUUAAAGCGUGUGUAGGCGGAAGCGUAAGUACCUUGUGAAAUCCCUCGGCUCAACCGAGGAACUGCACUCGAUACUGGUCGGCUAGAGUCCGGGAGGGGAUGGUGGAAUUCCCAGUGUAGCGGUGAAAUGCGUAGAUAUUGGGAAGAACACCGGUGGCGAAGGCGGCCAUCUGGACCGGAACUGACGCUGAGGCGCGAAAGCCAGGGGAGCGAAUGGG